UGAACUAAAAUUUGAAUGCAGUUGGAACGUUUGCCUACGUUGACCGCUAGGGGCGCUGUUCCAACUGCAAACAAACCACUUCGAUA
rnacentral:pre_miRNA from 1 species